UACGGAGGGUCCAAGCGUUAUCCGGAAUCAUUGGGUUUAAAGGGUCCGUAGGCGGUUUUGUAAGUCAGUGGUGAAAGCCCAUCGCUCAACGGUGGAACGGCCAUUGAUACUGCAAGACUUGAAUUAUUGUGAAGUAACUAGAAUAUGUAGUGUAGCGGUGAAAUGCUUAGAGAUUACAUGGAAUACCAAUUGCGAAGGCAGGUUACUAACAAUAUAUUGACGCUGAUGAACGAAAGCGUGGGUAGCGAACAGG
rnacentral:rRNA from 1 species